rnacentral:rRNA from 1 species
UACGAAGGGGACUAGCGUUGUUCGGAAUUACUGGGCGUAAAGCGCACGUAGGCGGAUUUGUAAGUCAGGGGUGAAAUCCCGGGGCUCAACCUCGGAACUGCCUUUGAUACUGGCAAUCUUGAGGCUGGAAGAGGUUGGUAGAAUUCCCAGUGUAGAGGUGAAAUUCGUAGAGAUUUGGAGGAACACCAGUGGCGAAGGCGACUUUCUGGACUGUAACUGACGCUGAGGCUCGAGAGCGUGGGGAGCAAACAGG